GACGAACGCUGGCGGCGUGCUUAACACAUGCAAGUCGAACGAAGUGGCGAACGGGUGAGUAACGCGUAAUCAACCUGUCCUUCAGAGGGGGACAACAGUUGGAAACGACUGCUAAUACCGCAUACUGAAGGAGGGGAUUGCGGCGGAUUAGCUAGUUGGAGGGGUAACGGCCCACGAAGGCGAUGAUCAGUCGCCGGUCUGAGAGGAUGAACGGCCACAUUGGAACUGGGACACGGCGCAGACUCCGACGGGAGGCAGCAGUGGGGAGUCUUCCGCAAUGGACGAAAGUCUGACGGAGCAACGCCGCGUGAGUGAUGACGGCCUUCGGGUUGUAAAGCUCUGUUAAUCGGGACGCGGUACCGGAAUAGAAAGCCACGGCUAACUACGUGCCAGCCGCCGCGGUAAUAC
rnacentral:rRNA from 1 species